rnacentral:snoRNA from 1 species
CUGAAGCCAACUAAGCCGACUGUCCCCCUCUCCCCAUGGGGGCCCAUUGUGCAGUGGCUGUGGACAGCAGCCUCCUUGGUAGAGUAUGUGGCCUGUUGCUUGUACAGGUUGCCCUGAGGGACCUGAGGGACCUUG